ACUAACUGGAGGACCGAACCGACUAAUGUUGAAAAAUUAGCGGAUGACUUGUGGCUGGGGGUGAAAGGCCAAUCAAACCGGGAGAUAGCUGGUUCUCCCCGAAAGCUAUUUAGGUAGCGCCUCGUGAAUUCAUCUCCGGGGGUAGAGCACUGUUUCGGCAAGGGGGUCAUCCCGACUUACCAACCCGAUGCAAACUGCGAAUACCGGAGAAUGUUAUCACGGGAGACACACGGCGGGUGCUAACGUCCGUCGUGAAGAGGGAAACAACCCAGACCGCCAGCUAAGGUCCCAAAGUCAUGGUUAAGUGGGAAACGAUGUGGGAAGGCCCAGACAGCCAGGAUGUUGGCUUAGAAGCAGCCAUCAUUUAAAGAAAGCGUAAUAGCUCACUGGUCGAGUCGGCCUGCGCGGAAGAUGUAACGGGGCUAAACCAUGCACCGAAGCUGCGGCAGCGACACUAUGUGUUGUUGGGUAGGGGAGCGUUCUGUAAGCCUGUGAAGGUGGCCUGUGAGGGUUGCUGGAGGUAUCAGAAGUGCGAAUGCUGACAUAAGUAACGAUAAAGCGGGUGAAAAGCCCGCUCGCCGGAAGACCAAGGGUUCCUGUCCAACGUUAAUCGGGGCAGGGUGAGUCGACCCCUAAGGCGAGGCCGAAAGGCGUAGUCGAUGGGAAACAGGUUAAUAUUCCUGUACUUGGUGUUACUGCGAAGGGGGGACGGAGAAGGCUAUGUUGGCCGGGCGACGGUUGUCCCGGUUUAAGCGUGUAGGCUGGUUUUCCAGGCAAAUCCGGAAAACCAAGGCUGAGGCGUGAUGA
rnacentral:rRNA from 1 species